rnacentral:rRNA from 1 species
UAAAAAGACCAUCCCAGUUCGGAUUGCAGGCUGCAACCCGCCUGUAUGAAGUUGGAAUCGCUAGUAAUCGCGGAUCAGCAUGCCGCGGUGAAUACGUUCCCGGGCCUUGUACACACCGCCCGUCACACCAUGAGAGUCGGGAACACCCGAAGUCCGUAGCCUAACCGCAAGGAGGGCGCGGCCGAAGGUGGGUUCGAUAAUUGGGGUGAAGUCGUAACAAGGUAGC